CGGCUGUAGCCAAAUUGAAAUUCGGUUAGGGAAGUUUACUGGCCGGUUGUUGUUAGAUCCAUUUUUGGGUCUCGUCGACAAAUCUGCUUACCGAGCUUCUCACACUC